UUCAGUUUAUAGCACUUCCGCAUUGGCUUCAUCGUUUGAGACCGGAGUUUGCCGCUUGGUUUCUACACUUUCCUCUCCUCUAGAAAUAAAAGAUGUCAAAGCACAAUAAAUGUCUUUAAAAAGGAAGAAAGAGGAGGAUUUCCCCUGUGUGUUUGACGAGGUGUUUCGGACUAAACGUGUGAGCAGUAUCUACAACUCUUGAGUAGUAAAUUGGGUUUCAAUUGUUUUUAAGAGCUGAAAUCUUAAAGUGUAUUAUUUGGCCUGUGUCCAAGUCACAUGACUGCAACCAAAUGGGAUACUCAUGCUUCCCAAAUUAAAUCCAUUCCACUUUUCUUUUCAAUAAAUGACAUCACUUUUGGUUUGAUAUUAAAAAAUAAAAGUGAUGAAAUCUGCUGUAACAUAA